CUGAGCCCCACUGGGGCAGUGCCCAGGGUAACGGGCGUAUCUGAGCCCCACUGGGGCAGUGCCCAGGGUAACGGGCGUAUCUGAGCCCCGCUGGGACAGACGAAAAAACCUGAACGAAAACAGGCAUUACAAAGGGAACUGUGAGGAGGCUGACAGUGCUUCAAUGCUACGGCCAGAGAAGGAUAGAUUUCUGUUAAAACGUAUCUGAUGAAAGUUGUAGUCCAAUGGUGUUUUUUUUAAGCAAAUUCCAGUAGGGGCUGUUGUUUAACCUGUACACAUAAAGGCGAUCACAUGUAGGUGACACAGUCACGUAAGUGUCAGUUUUCUUGUGUGUUGGUUUAUUCUGAUCCCAGCGAGCACAUUAUGUUCUGUCAACACUGAUGUCACAUUCCAGGAUUCUGUUACUCUCCAAAGGUAUCACAUUUGAAUGCGAUGUGAGAGAUUGGACUCCCAGUCGUGUCAUUUUCCAGCUAGAACCAACUUUCUGUGCUGAGUCAUGAUUGGUCAGUUGUAUACAUUCUUGGCUAUAAAACUGCUACUUUACCCCGAUGAACAGAAUUCAAGAGAAUUUACUUGACUCCCUUAUACACAUGAAGGUUCCAAAUGAUGUUUUGUCUUUCUAUGUGUAAUAUAGAGUAUGUUAUAUCUCUGUGUUCAUUGGCAGGAAGGGAUACCAGCCUAACAUGUUCUUUACCUCACUUGUAUCUCAGUGUUUGCGGUUGCCAAUUAAGUAACCAGAUUCCACCUGGAGAGGUACAGGUUUGUGGUUAAAUUUGGAUGUUCUGUCAAGCAUCUUAAAUCUCAAGGUGAAGGAUUUCUGGAUGUAGACUGAUUUUGAAUGUAUAUUUUUAUGAAUUACAGCAGUGCUCAGUGCUGCUUAAUCAAUGCUUGCCAUCUGAGCUGCCGAUAUACAAUGUAUCAAAGCAGGACUGGAGCAACACAAUGUCAAUACUGUGUUAUAUUAUUGGUUGUCUAAUUGCUUGGGCAAAAUCAAAGGUGAUCUGAUUUGAUGACUGAGUGAGUACUUCAGAAUUUCAGGCUAAAGAGAGAAAUACGGGGGACCGUAGCCUGUGGAUCUGACUCCGGUGUCUGGCAAAUUGUGUGUGCAGUUUGCUUCUUCUCUCCUUGUUUUGUGGAUUUCUCCAGGAUGCUCUUGUUUCUUAUUCAAAGACAUGCAGUUUAGAUGAAUUGGUAUUUUCUCAGUCGCCCAUAGUGUAAGUGUGUGUCUUGGGGUGGACUGUCAUUCUAUUUCCCAACCGGAUCCACAGGGACCACCAGACAGUCCAUGUUUUUGCUCCCUCCUUGCAAAAAAUGUGAACUUUCUGGCAGGGAGCUGGGAGGGAUCAAAAAAUGUGGACCGUCUGGGGGUCCCCGAGAAACACUGCUCUAGGGUUCCACUAGGGUUCCAGUGCCUUGUUCACUGUGCUCCCUGGGAUAAGAUCCAUGUUCACUGUGCACUGGAUACAUGGUUAUAGAGGAUGAGUGGGUGGAUGGAGAGAGGAUGACGCAUAUAACACAUGAUAAUCCAUAACAGUUUGAUCUACCAGGACAGAGGCUGUCUGCCACCAAGUUAAUACUUCAAGUUCUCCAACUAGAAAAAGAUCUUUGUAGUAUAUAAUUAAAUUUUAGGAGAUCUUACUUCAGUUCAUGAACUUUAUGACAAUGAAAUAUUUCUUUGCUACAACAAUACACUAUAAUAUUAAUUAUCAUGUAAAGGAGAUUUAGAGAAGUUUUAAAUUUUGAGGCAAAAGAAACCACAGCAGUGUUGUAUACAGAUGUGUAUUUCUGAAAUUUUAGUGGUCCUAAAGUUGUAAAAAUGUCCCCUUUUAAUUGGAUCUGUUGAUCACUGGGUGUCACGUAUAUUUUUGCUGUUAUUUUCAUACUUUAUCUGUUACAGGGAUGUUUGGCUGUCAGUCUGAGUGUUCACUAACAUGCAGUGGUCUUGAUUUGGCUCCCAUGUUAAUCAAGUUGAAGUCCUGAAAGUAAUAUGGCCUCAAAGACUUGAUGCAUCUACAGCAACAAUCACACAUAUUGAACCAAAUUUUUUCAGCUUUGUGAAUCUCUCCUGUUUCUCCAGUUCCCUGAAUUUGCAGCUCUGCUCUGACUUGAAUAUAACAGGAUUUUCCUGUUUCUGUCAUUAUGUGUCUUAUGGUUCUUAGUGAGUAUGUGUUACAGACGCACAUACAGGGAGAGGUUAAUUGGCACUGCCUCACAUGCUGUCUUGCAUAGACUAGGCAAUGAUUGAAUGUAUGGAUGUUUGAAUCCACAAUGCUAAGAUCACAACAGAGCCCUCAAUAAGUCGUUCGAGAUAAAAUAAAACAGAAAACCUCUUGGAAGAGGUAGAUUAUCCGGCCCUUAAUGAUGUUAAGCCACGGAUUACCUUACUUUCACACAUUUAACAGACAGAUUUUUUGUGAAUGCAGUAUUCCUUAUGUAUCCUAGAUGAAACAAUUAUAAAUGAAUGAGAUUAACUAAUAAAAAUGGCUGGUGAAGUUGUUUACGAAGGUGUCAAUCGUACAAAUUAUGCUGCCUACCUUCUGCUAAAGGCACUAAAUAUUUGCAGACAGUCCUUAGUUGUGCACUUUAAACAGAAGCUAAUAUAUGAACAAGCUCUUACUGUCAGUCAACAGAGUUCACUAGUGUUACAUUUGAAUAUUGAAUGUGAUUGGAUACUAUUAUUAGUCCACAAGUCUCAAUAAAACUUGCUUUCAUUUGUGUGUAUUCUGCUUUUAAAUAUGUACAUCCAUCCAUUAUUUUCCUGUUUUUCUGACUUGUUUUUUGAUUAUUUAAUUUUACUCUCUUGUAAUGUCAUUGUAAAAAGUAGCUUAUUUAUUGAAAAUGAUAGCAAUGUUUUAGAAAAAAAUGCAGUAACAUUUGCUUUUAUUUUCAAAAGCCAGUUUGUAUUCUAUUUGAUUAACGAACGUAACAGUUGUGUCCUGGAUUAAAAAGAGUUAUCUUUUA